GUGAAUCAUCGAAUUUUUGAACGCAAAUUGCGCUUUUUGCGGAAGGAAUGUGUGUUUGAGGGCACCAUUUAACAAAUAAUGUGCAUUUAGUGUGAACACGUUGAUGAGAUUUAAAAAAUUAUGUAGUAAUAUUUUUGGUGGCGCAUAAUAAAUAGCGCGAUGCUUUUGUUCAGUUCGAGUGUAGUAAAAUUUUUUAUUGCUGGGGGUGUGAAAAGCGUGAUGGUGGAAUGGGUGGGGUGAUGCUACUAACACUGCCUCAAAGC
rnacentral:misc_RNA from 1 species